AUUGAACGCUGGCGGCAUGCCUUACACAUGCAAGUCGAACGGCAGCACGGACUUCGGUCUGGUGGCGAGUGGCGAACGGGUGAGUAAUGUAUCGGAACGUACCUUUCAGUGGGGGAUAACGUAGCGAAAGUUACGCUAAUACCGCAUAUUCUGUGAGCAGGAAAGCAGGGGAUCGCAAGACCUUGCGCUGAUUGAGCGGCCGAUAUCAGAUUAGCUAGUUGGUGGGGUAAAGGCCUACCAAGGCGACGAUCUGUAGGGGGUCUGAGAGGAUGGGCCGCCCCACUGGAACUGAGACACGGUCCAGACUCCUACGGGAGGCAGCAGUGGGGAAUUUUGGACAAUGGGGGCAACCCUGAUCCAGCCAGGCCGCGUGAGGGAAGAAGGCGUUCGGGUUGUAAAGCUCUUUCGGCCGGGAAGAAAUCGCACAGGCUAAUACCCUGUGUGGAUGACGGUACCGGAAUAAGAAGCACCGGCUAACUACGUGCCAGCCGCCGCCGUAACAC
rnacentral:rRNA from 1 species